AAUGAAAUACCAGUCAUCCCCAAAGCAUUUCCCUUGCUUCGGGUACUCGAUGCUGAAUCAAUCAAGUUCAAUCGAUUUUCUCGGGAGUUCUUCAAAUUAUUUCAUUUAAGGUACAUUGCUAUCUCAACUGACAAGAUCAAGACCAUUCCUGCUGCUUUUAUCUCAACUGACAAGAUCAAGACCAUGCCGGCUGACUUUGGGAAUCUUUGGAAUGUACAAACACUUAUAGUCGAGACGCAACAAGGUACUCUUGACAUCAAAGCAGACGUUUGGAAUAUGACAAGAUUAAGGCAUGUGUGCACAAACGCCUCUACUACGUUGCCUUCCACUAAGCGCC
rnacentral:lncRNA from 1 species